rnacentral:rRNA from 1 species
UACGGGGGGUGCAAGCGUUACUCGGAAUCAUUGGGCGUAAAGGGCGUGUAGGCGGCCCUGUAAGUCAGGUGUGAAAGCCCGGGGCUCAACCUGGGAAGUGCAUUUGAUACUGCGAGGCUUGAGUAUAGGAGAGGAAAGGGGAAUUCCUGGUGUAGAGGUGAAAUUCGUAGAUAUCAGGAGGAACAGCGGUGGCGAGGGCGACCUUCUGGACUACUACUGACGCUGAGACGCGAAAGCGUGGGGAGCAAACAGG